rnacentral:rRNA from 11 species
AUUACUUGGAUCGAGAAAUGAUGAACACAGCAAACGUCGCAACAAAAAAUCAGGAGCAGCAUCAGCAAAGGCAUUUUUUGGAUCCUUCUACGCCACCA